GGAAGCUCCUUUCAGAUAGAGACAAGGGAUAUUUGACUUCUUAUCUCUGUUGUCCAGCACAAUGUCCAGAACACAACAGAUAUUCCAUAUGCACAGUCACAUGCUAUGUAUGUGUAUUUUCUUUCCAGAAAGGACUAGAGGUCCUAAGCUUUGUUAAUAUCAUGAGCCAGUGCCCACAUGAGCAGGAGAAUUUUAGCACAGUCACCUACACACUCAUUUCGAUGCUCUGACCCCUUAUCCAAGCCAGUCAAAGUGUGGUCUAUGGUUUUGCAUUUUAAAGAGAUCCCUGGGUGAAUCUUGUGCAUGUUACAGGGAAGCACUGUCCUACAUCCUAUGUGACAGGCUCUCAUAGUCACCAUCAUCAUGGGAAUCUUGCACAUGUUACAGGGAAGCACUGUCCUACAUCAUAUGUGACAGGCUCUCAUAGUCACCAUCAUCACGGGAAUCUUGCACAUGUUACAGGGAAGCACUGUCCUACAUCGUAUGUGACAGGCUCUCAUAAUCACCAUCAUCAUGUGAUCUUGUGCAUGUUACAGGGAAGCACUGUUCUACAUCGUAUCUGACAGGGUCUCAGAGUCACCAUCAUCACGGGAAUCUUGUGCAUGUUACAGGGAAGCACAGUCCUACAUCGUAUCUGACAGGCUCUCAUAAUCACCAUCAUCACGGGAAUCUUGUGCAUGUUGCAGGGAAGCACUGUCCUACAUCGUAUGCGACAGGGUCUCAGAGUCACCAUCAUCGUGGGAAUCUUGUGCAUGUUACAGGGAAGCACUGUCCUACAUCAUAUGUGACAGGCUCUCAUAGUCACCAUCAUCACGGGAAGCUGCAUUUAGAGCAUUUAACUGUAUGGGCUCUGAAAUCAGAUGACUUAGGUUUGGGCUUGCCUCUACUUCUUACUAAGCAGAGAACUUUGGGGCAUGAUACUUAAUUUUACUAGGCUCAGUUUUAUCAUGUGUAAAUUGGAGGCAAGGGGAAAUUAUAGCAUUUUGCAUAGAAUAUUGUUUUAAGUAUGAA
rnacentral:lncRNA from 1 species